UACAGAGGGUGCAAGCGUUGUUCGGAAUUACUGGGCGUAAAGCGCGUGUAGGUGGCGAUGUAAGUCGGGUGUGAAAUCCCCUCAGCUUAACUGAGGAAGUGCACUCGAUACUGUGUCGCUUGAGUGUUGGAGGGGAUGGCGGAAUUCCCGGUGUAGAGGUGAAAUUCGUAGAUAUCGGGGAGGAACACCUGUGGCGAAGGCGGCCAUCUGGACAACUACUGACACUGAGACGCGAAAGCGUGGGUAGCAAACAGG
rnacentral:rRNA from 1 species